GGGCCUGUAGCUCAGUUGGUUAGAGCACCCGCCUGAUAAGCGGGAGGUCACUGGUUCGAGUCCAGUCAGGCCCACCA
rnacentral:tRNA from 1 species